GGAAUGAGCAGGAGUAUAGCUUGCAGCAGACAGAGAAGAACAGAUGGCUGGCCAUACUCUGCAUGGUGUCUCUCUGGUCAACUUUGAGUGUCACUACCUUCCCCAGAGAACAACAGCCAUUGCCAGCAGUUUGAGAAGCAUCUGUCAGAAGUUUGUUUGCAUCACUUUUCAAUUCCAAGCCACCUGUACAUUGGCUCAUCUGGGUCCCCCUGAGCCACAGCCUUUGUCCUGGACUGCCGUAAUGCGCAUCAUAUUCUGUGACAGUCAGUUCCACAGCACUGGUGAUAAAGAAUAAUAGAAGACCUGAAAGUAUAAAUUCC
rnacentral:lncRNA from 1 species